GCUAGCAAUGUGCCGCGGUGGUUCAGCCGGUUUGGCGGUGGAGCUCGCGUCUGUCGGAUCCGAAUGGACCGCAGCCGCGCGGCCGUCCGCUGUCGGACUGCGGUGCACUCUACCGUGGCACGCGUCAGCGUCGGUUGGCAGCCGGCGACAAGGCCAGCAGGAAGGUAGCUCGGAGCUUUGCUCCGAGUAUUAUAGCCCGCUGAGCUGGGUCUGCUGCCGACCGAGGAGAGAGAUGAUCGCUGCAGCGCAUGCCGCAAGGCUAGCUGCCCGCUGUUCGGUGUGCUGCACGAGCUGAGGACUGCACGCAGUGUUCGGUUCGGCGCGGUGGCCGGACGGUGGAGUGGUAUAAAUGCGCUUCGGACGCUGGCGUCCAAAUGGCCGUGCGCGACCCGUCUUGAAACACGGACCAAGGAGUCUAACAUGUGCGCGAGUCUUUGGGUGUGGAAACCCGUGGGCGCAAUGAAAGUGAAGGCCGCCUUGCGCGGCUGAGGUGAGAGCCGUACUCCGUGCGGUGCAUCAUCGACCGGUCUGAUCUUCUCUAAGGUGGAUCCGAGUAAGAGCGUAUUUGUUGGGACCCGAAAGAUGGUGAACUAUGCCUGAAUAGGGUGAAGCCAGAGGAAACUCUGGUGGAGGCUCGUAGCGAUUCUGACGUGCAAAUCGAUCGUCAAAUUUGGGUAUAGGGGCGAAAGACUAAUCGAACCAUCUAGUAGCUGGUUCCCUCCGAAGUUUCCCUCAGGAUAGCUGGAACUCGAGACACAGUUUUAUCAGGUAAAGCGAAUGAUUAGAGGUCUUGGGGGUGAAACACCCUCAACCUAUUCUCAAACUUUAAAUAGGUAAGAAGCGUGACUUGCUUGAUUGAAGCCACGCACUUAAUGUGAGUUCCAAGUGGGCCAUUUUUGGUAAGCAGAACUGGCGAUGCGGGAUGAACCGAACGCUCGGUUAAGGUGCCCAAGUCGACGCUCAUCAGACCCCAGAAAAGGUGUUGGUUGAUAUAGACAGCAGGACGGUGGCCAUGGAAGUCGGAAUCCGCUAAGGAGUGUGUAACAACUCACCUGCCGAAUCAACUAGCCCUGAAAAUGGAUGGCGCUAAAGCGUCGCACCUAUACCGGGCCGUUGCCGUAAAUGCCAAGCGGCAACGAGUAGGAGGGCGCGGAGGUCGUGACGCAGCCUUUGGCGCGAGCCUGGGUCAAACGGCCUCUGGUGCAGAUCUUGGUGGUAGUAGCAAAUAUUCAAAUGAGAGCUUUGAAGACCGAAGUGGAGAAAGGUUCCAUGUGAACAGCAGUUGGACAUGGGUUAGUCGACCCUAAGAGAUAGGGAAGUUCCGUUCUGAAGGCGCAAUCCUGCGCCGCCUAUCGAAAGGGAAUCGGGUUAAUAUUCCCGAACCAGAACGCGGAUAUAUCGGCUUUCGGGUCAGGAGCGGCAACGCAACCGAACUGGGAGACGUUGGCGGGAGCUCCGGGAAGAGUUUUCUUUUCUUUUUAACGGACCAUCACCCUGGAAUCGGUUUGCCCGGAGAUAGGGUUUACUGGUCCGGUAAAGCAGCACACUUCUUGUGCUGUCCGGUGCGCUCCCGACGGCCCUUGAAAAUCCCAGGGAGUGAUUAAUUUUCGUGUCUGGUCGUACUCAUAACCGCAGCAGGUCUCCAAGGU
rnacentral:rRNA from 1 species